UUCGCAAAAAUCAUAGUGGAUAUAAUUUGUAAUAUGAAGCUUAAAUUUUCAAUGUGUCACCUGUAAUAAUUAAAAGUAUAAUAACCUAUGUUUACAACUGUGCAAAAUUUCUACAGAAUCCAAAUUUUAUUGUCAUUAUCCUUAUUUUAAGAGCACUGCCUUUCAGAGGAAUAAUCUAGGAUUAUUCAUUUUCUUAACAGGUUGUCAGUGUAAACCUAAUUAUUUUUUUGUUUAUUAAAUCAAUAUCUUGAAGCUGAAGGUAGUAGGUGUCGAGCUGUGUGCAGUUGUUGACACUGUGCCUCAGGAAGUGUUUACAAAUUGAUUACAACCACCUUAGCAGACCGUUUCUGGUGCUGCCCGUCACAGGGUCUGACAUUUACCUGUAGAUAACAAUAUCAGGCAAUUAAAACUGCCAGUAAGAUGCACAACAAUCCUCAUAACUUGUCUCCCGAAGGUUGAGUAGGAUAUAGUGCUGUUGUUAUAUACUUGUAAAAGGAAACAAUGGUGGAACUGUCUCUUUUAAUACACUUGUACGACAUUUAAGCUAGUGUUCUCAUUUCGUAUACUGUCUGAUCCGUAUAUUAACCAAAGUGUGUGUAUAUAUAUAUAUUUGAAAUGCUUUCUUUCGUGAUUUAUUCGAGAUAUGAAGGUAGCGACAUUGCAGAAAAAUAUAUAACCCGGGUUAUGUAAUUUUUUUUCUGCAAUGAUCGCUACUCCCACGUCAUGAUUAUUUCGUGCAGUCCGUGAUUUUUCUUAGGUCGAUGUAGGUUUCGACCAAUCGAUAAAAAGGGCGUGUCAAUUUCAGUCCUGUCAGUUACUUAUCAGUUUUGCCGAUGUAGAUUUCGACCAAUCGAUAAACGGGGCAUAUAUAUAUAUAUAAACACACACACAUUCUUGUUGAUAUUUUAGUAUUGUAAAGACUUUGGAAUAACAAAGAUAUACUUCCUUAUAUCAAAUUUCAAAUGAAGUGGUAGAUGAAAUAGUUUCAUUUUGUGAACUGUGCCGUGUGGUUCACAUUUUAAUGGAAUAUUGUGAAAAAUUUAUUGAACUUUUUUAUGGAUUGUUGAAUGUACAUACCUUGAAAAUUUUGUGGAGCUUACUUUGAUAUCUUAACAUAUGUUUCAAAUUAUGUAUGAUGAAGGUUUUUAUAAAUUUUGUUUUACAAUAUAAUUAUAUAAAAUAAAU
rnacentral:sRNA from 1 species